ACUACAACAAAUUCUAAAAUACAUUAUUUCACAUAAUUACUCAAAAUCGAUUAGUUAGAAUUAAUAUGAAUUUGUGUGACCUCUGUGGCCACAGCCCAUUCAGAUGACAUCUUAAUGAUGGGCAUCAAUCAAUGUCGAUUACAAAAAAGCCCGGAAAAAAAUUACAUUUAGUCUAAGCUUUAGUUAUAUAAAAUUAUACUGAACAACCAAAUAUUAACGAGAUUUGUACUCGGGACGAUUUAUUUAAUUUUAUUUUUAAAGUUGUAUAAGCUUUGUACUAUUCGGUCUAAUGGGUAACAUUAGCGAAAGUUAAAGUCGCCGUACAUUCUCCCAUUGUAUUGUAUUGUUUCAUGGUUGAUCUCAGAGGUCGUGACGUCCUAUCAUGAUGAAAGCAAUCACGAUCGCUAGUGAUCGAGAUUACAUGCAAACAUACCUUUAAGGCUUGGACUUUGAAGAUAUGCUACAUCUCGUCUUUAAUGGUUAUAGGGAACAUUUUAGCACCGCGCCGCUCUAAGGCAUAGUCGAAAGCUUCUCAUUCUCUGUCAAGUGGAGGGUAAAUGAGCCAAGAGGCAUUGCACCAACAAGAUAAUCGGACACUACAAGGAGAACAGUUAGGGGUAGUAGCUAACAGGUGGUCCACUUCGCAGCAGACCGAUCUUCAUGGAAAUACGUGCGGUCACGACCCUUAGUAAUGAUGGAACGUCGAAGAAAAAAAUUAAGAAUCAAGGAAUUUUUUAAAAUGAUAUCUGAAGUAUAUGAAAUAAACUUCCUACUUAACUUACUAAA